AGUUCGAAUGUAACCGAAGCAACCGUGGGACAGCCUAAUGGAUGACUGUGGUGAGCUUUAGGCCACUUCGGGGGCAACAUCAAGCAGAGGAAGUACCUGGAAUAUUGAGCAGUACCUGUGUGCGUAUGGUGACCACUUGCCUUCAUUAGAGAUUUCUGGUCUUGCCAGCACUGCAGUACGCUGAAGUUGCUUUGUCUAAAGCAGUCAAGGAACCAGAUCUUACUACACACUUCAAACAGAGGUGGAAUUUAGGUCCUGUGUGUCACCAGAGGAGACCCAGAGACCUGGGGUUUACACAGAGGAGACAUUUAGGCCAAUUCUAAGUGACAGAUUUGCUUUCUGUAAGAUAUGACUGACAGGCAAAUGGAAUCGAGUCUCGAAUGAGAAAUUUGAGCUCCCUGGAGAUACAGUUCUGGUCCUCAGCCUAAUGCGAUAUUGGAGUCAUGUCAGCAACUGUAUGCAAGGAGUACACCUCCAUUACAGAAAGGAUGCUUCAGCCACCCACAUGCAAACCCCGCCAUUCCCAUUCCUGGCGGACAACGUGCAAUAUUUGAAAAUAUUACAGAACACUCUUGUGAUAAAAUGUCAGCUAACUCCAAAUCAAUAUUCAAAAAACAUUUAUCACUACCCUUGUAUGAAUACAAAAUGAGGUAGAAAAGGAGUCUGUGGUUAUACCUUUAUCACUAUUAAAACUAUCGUGUGUUCUUU